AGGAAAUAGAUACCCGGGUAGUCCACGCCCUAAACGAUGUCAACUAGUUGUCGGGGAUUAACUUCCUUGGUAACGCAGCUAAACGCGUGAAAGUUGACCGCCUGGGGAGUACGGUCGCAAGAUUAAAACUCAAAGGAAUUGACGGGGACCCGCACAAGCGGUGGAUGAUGUGGAUUAAUUCGAUGCAACGCGAAAAACCUUACCUACCCUUGACAUGUCUGGAACCCUGCUGAGAGGUGGGGGUGCUCGAAAGAGAGCCAGAACACAGGUGCUGCAUGGCUGUCGUCAGCUCGUGUCGUGAGAUGUUGGGUUAAGUCCCGCAACGAGCGCAACCCUUGUCAUUAGUUGCUACGAAGGGGGCACUCUAAUGAGACUGCCGGUGACAAACCGGAGGAAGGUGGGGAUGACGUCAAGUCCUCAUGGCCCUUAUGGGUAGGGCUUCACACGUCAUACAAUGGUCGGUACAGAGGGUAGCCAACCCGGCGAGGGGGUAGCCAAUCCCAGAAAACCCGAUCGUAGUCCGGAUUGCAGUCUGCAACUCGACUGC
rnacentral:rRNA from 1 species